rnacentral:rRNA from 1 species
ACACGUAGGGGCCUGACGUUGUUCGGAAUCAUUGGGCGUAAAGGGCGCGCAGGCGGCCGUCCAAGUCCGGUGUUAAAUGGUCGGGCUCAACCCGAUCAUGCGCUGGAAACUGGGCGGCUGGAGUCCCGGAGGGGAUGCCGGAAUUCCAGGUGUAGGGGUGAAAUCUGUAGAUAUCUGGAAGAACACCGAUGGCGAAGGCAGGCAUCUGGCCGGAGACUGACGCUGAGGCGCGAAGGCGCGGGGAGCGAACAGGUUUAGAUACCCUGGUAGUCCGCGCAGUAAACGAUGCGCACCAGGUGUCGGGCGGCAGCGCCCGGUACCGGAGCAAACGCGAUGAGUGCGCCGCCUGGGGAGUAUGCCCGCAAGGGUGAAACUCAAAUGAAUUGGCGGGG